rnacentral:rRNA from 1 species
GACGAACGCUGGCGGCGUGCUUAACACAUGCAAGUCGAACGGAAAGGCCCUGCUUUUGUGGGGUGCUCGAGUGGCGAACGGGUGAGUAACACAUGAGUAACCUGCCCUUGACUUUGGGAUAACUUCAGGAAACUGGGGCUAAUACCGGAUAUGAGCUCCUGCUGCAUGGUGUGGGUUGGAAAGUUUCGGCUGUUGUGGAUGGACUCGCGGCUUAUCAGCUUGUUUGUGGGGUAGUGGCUUACCAAGGCUUUGACGGGUAGCCGGCCUGAGAGGGUGACCGGCCACAUUGGGACUGAGAUACGGACCAGACUCCUACGGGAGGCAGCAGUGGGGAAUAUUGCACAAUGGGCGGAAGCCUGAUGCAGCAACGCCGCGUGCGGGAUGACGGCCUUCGGGUUGUAAACAGCUUUCGACUGUGACGAAGCGUGAGUGACGGUAAUGGGUAAAGAAGCACCGGCUAACUACGUG